rnacentral:rRNA from 1 species
GACAGGGGGCUCGAGCGUUAAUCGGAAUCACUGGGCGUAAAGGGCGCGUAGGCGGUCUGGUAAGCGUGUGGUGAAAGCCCGGGGCUCAACCCCGGGUCGGCCGUGCGAACUGCUGGACUGGAGCAGAUCAGAGGCAGGCGGAAUUCCGGGUGUAGCGGUGGAAUGCGUAGAUAUCUGGAGGAACACCGGUGGCGAAGGCGGCAUCCUGGACCGACACUGACGCUGAGGAGCGAAAGCCAGGGGAGCAAACGGG